rnacentral:rRNA from 1 species
UCACCUACGGGAGGCAGCAGUGGGGAAUAUUGCACAAUGGGGGAAACCCUGAUGCAGCAACGCCGCGUGGGUGAAGAAGUAUUUCGGUAUGUAAAGCCCUAUCAGCAGGGAAGAGAAUGACGGUACCUGACUAAGAAGCCCCGGCUAACUACGUGCCAGCAGCCGCGGUAAUACGUAGGGGGCAAGCGUUAUCCGGAUUUACUGGGUGUAAAGGGAGCGUAGACGGCGGUGCAAGUCUGGAGUGAAAGGCAGGGGCCCAACCCCUGGACUGCUCUGGAAACUGUAGUGCUGGAGUGCAGGAGCGG